GUUUGCUAAGUCAGAAGAGGGUGUGGUAAUGAGAGCAAUAAAACAUGGGAUCUCAUCUGUGCACCUGCUGCAAUCUCUCCUCUCUCUGCUAGUGUGGGAAGCCUGAUUUAUGGGCUUGAUUUAUGCCACCUCUCCACACCGUGGGCUGCUCGUGCACUCUCCUUGAAGCCAUCUGAGCAGAAUGUUAUAUGAAGAAGGAGAGACUGCAUCGUAUUUCUGCCACGCUGCUUGUCAGGCAGAUCCAAAAAGCAAACUCUGCACAGUGUAUGAUCUCGUCAUGGGAGCCUGGGAAGCAUCCGGCCCAACAGGAGCUGCUCCAAAUGGACUGGGAGAGAACACCAGGCAGGCCUUGCGUGCCUCUGCCCAUGGAUGCAGAGAAGUGCCGACAUCGCCUGGAAGCUCUUGACACAGAUCAUUGUUCUGGCUUUCUGCUGCUUCAUCAUAUGUUUCCUGCAUUGUGCUUCUUCAUCAUUAUUUAUUUUUGACCAAGGACAUGUCUGUAAAUAAGAGCUCUAACAAUUCUACCUUUUGCUCUUUUUCUAGAAUUGCAAGUACCUAUGCCCCGAUUCCUCUCCCGGCGAUGAUGCAGCCUUUAGACUUGUCCCACACCUGAGUGGGAUCAUAUCUGGUUAUUCCCAAAACCUGUUUCAUCACUUCCCUGUCAUUUGUGUAGGUACUUAAGAUGACAGCACAUGUCACAGGGGUCCCUCUAUGUCAAGGGCCUAAAGUCAUCAUCUCUGUCCUACAUCACACAAGCAGCUUUGACAGAACAUCUCAGUGAAGGGCUCAGUGAGGAAGGAGGCAUAAAGGAGGUCCACAGGGAACCUCACCUCACCUUAAAGCCAUCUUUAAGAGUGCUACCUCAGAUACAGAAGCAUUGAUAAUUACUGAAAAUGGCCUUGAAAUUGGUUUAGAGGUUAUUAAAGUAAAGGGUAAAAUGGAUGGUCCAAAAAGUCCAUCAGGUCCUGGUAUCUCCUCUAAACUCAAUAUUCCAAAGCAGCUUUCACCACCCACACAACACAUGCUGGGUUUGAAACAAUCCUUAUUCUUGCUUCCCUGGCUGGAAAAGUAUCAUCUGGCACUCAAACUGACCACCAGGGAAGGGAUACGAUCUGGCAGAUGUGUGGCACUGGGAGGCCAGGUCUGCAGUGAGAUGGGUCCCCAGCCAAGGCAGUCCUGCUGCAAGGCUGAACUCUGGUUCCCUUCCCAUCUGUGUCAGGCAGUCUUCUUCAUGGCUUAUCCUUCCAGCUGCUUGGCAUGGACUGAAAGCUUCCUUUUUGGUGCAGCUCUGGGUGGGUGGAUGACUGCUCGCUUGCUGAGUUGCCCUGAAGGUUGGUCGAGGACUGUUUCCCCAGGAUGAUGGGUAGCACAGAUUUGCU